rnacentral:lncRNA from 1 species
UAAGAUUGAGUUUCCUUUGAAGGAGGAGGGAGAAUCUUAAUUUCGACACCUUGUUGUUUGUUUGUUUGGUAAGGGGCAACUGUUGCCUUAUUCUUUUUAUGUUUCUUUUUAAGUGGAGUUGGAGGAGUUUCUUCUUCAUCGUCUUCGACAAGAAUUACACUUUCAGUGGGGACUUUUCUUUUCUUUGGCGUCAAAGGAGGCUUGCCACUACCCUGAAAGAAGGAAAAUUAU